rnacentral:rRNA from 1 species
AACGCUGGCGGCGUGCCUAAUACAUGCAAGUCGAACGGUCUUUCUAUGGAAGCUUGCUUCCACUGAGAAGAUAGUGGCGAAACGGGUGAGUAACACGUGGGUAACCUGCCCAUAAGAGGGGGGAUAACAUCCGGAAACGGGUGCUAAUACCGCAUAGUUUUCUUGAUCGCAUGAUCGGGAAAGGAAAGACGGCCUUUGUGCUGUCGCUUAUGGAUGGACCCGCGGCGUAUUAGUUAGCUGGUGAGGUAACGGCUCACCAAGACGAUGAUACGUAGCCGACCUGAGAGGGUGAUCGGCCACAUUGGGACUGAGACACGGCCCAAACUCCUACGGGAGGCAGCAGUAGGGAAUCUUCCGCAAUGGACGAAAGUCUGACGGAGCAACGCCGCGUGAGUGAAGAAAAGGUUUUUCGGAUCGUAAAACUCUGUUGUCAGAGAAGAACAAGUUGGAGAGUAACUGCUCCAGCCUUGACGGUAUCUGACCAGAAAGCCACGGCUAACCUACGUGCCAGCCGCGGC